rnacentral:piRNA from 1 species
UACCACCCAAAAAGGCUGUGCAGUGGC